GGUGGGAACUCUAAGGAUACUGCCAGUGACAAACUGGAGGAAGGCGGGGACGACGUCAAGUCAUCAUGGCCCUUACGACCAGGGCUACACACGUGCUACAAUGGUCGGUACAAAGGGUUGCUACACAGCGAUGUGAUGCUAAUCUCAAAAAGCCGAUCGUAGUCCGGAUUGGAGUCUGCAACUCGACUCCAUGAAGUCGGAAUCGCUAGUAAUCGCGGAUCAGAAUGCCGCGGUGAAUACGUUCCCGGGCCUUGUACACACCGCCCGUCACACCAUGGGAGUUUGUUGCACCAGAAGUAGGUAGUCUAACCUUAGGGGGGACGCUUACCACGGUGUGGCCGAUGACUGGGGUGAAGUCGUAACAAGGUAGCCGUAGGGGAACCUGCGGCUGGAUCACCUCCUUAA
rnacentral:rRNA from 1 species